rnacentral:rRNA from 1 species
GAUGAACGCUGGCGGCGUGCCUAAUACAUGCAAGUCGAGCGAACAGACGAGGAGCUUGCUCCUCUGACGUUAGCGGCGGACGGGUGAGUAACACGUGGAUAACCUACCUAUAAGACUGGGAUAACUUCGGGAAACCGGAGCUAAUACCGGAUAAUAUAUUGAACCGCAUGGUUCAAUAGUGAAAGACGGUUUUGCUGUCACUUAUAGAUGGAUCCGCGCCGCAUUAGCUAGUUGGUAAGGUAACGGCUUACCAAGGAAACGAUGCGUAGCCGACCUGAGAGGGUGAUCGGCCACACUGGAAGUGAGACACGGUCCAGACUCCUACGGGAGGCAGCAGUAGGGAAUCUUCCGCAAUGGGCGGAAGCCUGACGGAGCAACGCCGCGUGAGUGAUGAAGGUCUUCGGAUCGUAAAACUCUGUUAUUAGGGAAGAACAAAUGUGUAAGUAACUAUGCACGUCUUGACGGUACCUAAUCAGAAAGCCACGGCUAACUACGUG